CACACACACACACACACAGCAGUGUGUGUAUGUGUGUAUAUAUGUGUAUGUGUGUAUAUAUAUAUAUAUAUAUAUACACACAUAUAUAUAUAUACAUACAUAUAUAUAUGCGGCGUGUGCUUGUGCUUU
rnacentral:miRNA from 1 species